UAGGCCCUGAAUCCAGACCAAUGGUUUGCUGUAGCUGUUGGUUUCAAACAGGAGCCCAGAAGAAUGUCUCCCAGUGGUCUGUUGCCUUUUCUAAAUUCCUAAUGGGGAAUGGCUAAUUCAGUUGGAAGAGACAAAU
rnacentral:snoRNA from 1 species